rnacentral:piRNA from 1 species
UGUCAAAUUAAACUCAUCAUU